rnacentral:lncRNA from 1 species
GAGCUCUAGGACUAUAAAAGCUUCAGAUGAUUGAAAAGAGAGUAUUGGAAGCAUCCUGAAGAGAACAAGAAGCUCAAUGAACACCACAAGACAGUUCACAGCGAUGGGCGAGAUCUGCAAGAACUGAAAUAAUUAAAAAACAAACAGACAACCUUUUAAAAUGCAGGAGACCUCAAAGUGACCCUAGAGAAGGUGACCGAAGAAGACGGACCCCUUGGCACCAGAGUAACCGGAUGGGGAACCUGCUCAGGUUUGGAUAAGGCCCACGGAUACCUUAAACGGGCUGACAUGUUCUCAAGGAAGA